GAGCUGCAGGAGUGCCAGGUGUGUGUUCCAUUUCCCAGCAUUUGGUUUGCACGUGUCCUGGUCAGACACAGGUCCAACUUCCUCAGUCCUUAACACAAGAGAAGGAGAAUUAAGGACUGGCAGUGUUCAGGUGAUUGGUGUGACAGGGGUUGAACUGGGAAAACAUUGGGGAAUUCCUCAGUUUGUCUCUUUGCCAAACUCAGCCAAACCUGUGCUAGGAAGAGAUUGAGUGGAGAAGUUGAGGCAGAAAUGAAAUGGAAAACUGGGGAUAUUGAAACAGUAAUUGCUGGAACUAAAUGUGUCAAAGCAGCAGCUCUUGUUGUGCAGGGAAUAACUCCUGUCAGCAGCAAGGUCCCGACUGAAGUGGCAGCUGCAGUUGUUCCUGUGGUGUGGGCCAGUGGAGUUCCAGGAGAGUGGAAGAGGGCAGAACCUGAUGUGAAUGCAAGAACCUGCCAAGAAAAGCAAUGGCCAAGAUGAUUGAUGAGUGCAGGACCUGAGAGAUCCACCUUGAAUGACAAUCUCGAGGAGUUUCCAGUAUUGGAUUUAAAAGAUGGCCUUUGCUGCAUCUCCUUGAGCAAGGAAAGCCAAAAAACCUUUGCUUUUGAAGGAGAAAAUCUGGAAAGCAGGAAAGGAAGAAAAGAAGCCACCUGACUCCUCCCUGAGCCCCAGACAGCACAUGAACUGCCUUCCUGGGAAUGGCUCUCCCCUCAGGAACUGCAGGAACUCCUGGUGCCGCCUGGGCCGAUGGAUUGGACGCCCCAGCCCCUCCGUUCCUGCCCAGCCACUGGGGCCGUGUCCAGUGGUGGCACUGCCAGCCCUGCAGUGGGAUGUAGCCUGGAAACUGCACCGAGCUGAGCCAAGGGACUUAAAGGGACCACCCAAGGGAGGUGAAGAAAGAAGGAAGAAGGGAAGUGAGGCAGCAGCCAAGCAGCACCAAGUGCCUGUGUAAGCAGCAAGCCAGCCUGAUAUCCCCUGUUCUGAGAGCUGAGUUCUUCCUUGGUUCUGCUACAUAUUGCCAGAUAGAUACCUUUGCCCUUGAAACACAAGGGUAGAGGUCAUACCCAGGGGUGAGAAAGAUGAUGGUGAGAGGAAGAUGAUGUGGGCAGGGGUCACUGGCCCCUUGCCCUCCCAGUAGGGCAGGCCCAGACUGUUGCCAUCAGGCAAUGCUCAGGCGGGGUUUGGCUGCCAUUCA